rnacentral:lncRNA from 1 species
AUGAGGAAAAAACAAAACAAGAAGAAAGUGGAGGAGGCUCUAGAAGUGGAGGAAGAGAAAUAUGUGGUGGAAAAAGUUCUUGACUGUGGAGGGGUAAAGGGCAAAGUGGAGUAGCUCCUAAAGUGGAAGGGGUUCUCAAUGAGGACCACACAUGGGAACCAGAAGAGAACCUGGAUUGCCCUGACCUCAUUGCUGAGUUUCUGCAGUCAUAGAAAACAACACAUGAGACAGAUAAAUCAGAGGGAGGCAAGCGCAAAGCUGGAGAGGAGGGCAAACCAAAGAAGAAGAAAGAAGAGUCAGAAAAGCCAUGAGGCUUUGCUGGGGGUUUGGCGCCAGAGCAGAUUAUUGGAGCUACAUACUCCAGUGGAGAGCUCAUGAUCCCGAUGACAUGGAAAAACUCUGAUGAGGCUGACCUGUUUCCUGGCAAGGAAGCCAGCAUCAAGUGCCCACAGGUUGUCAUAUCUUUCUAUGAGGAAAGGCAUUCCUACCCCAAGAAGGAGGAUGAGAAAAAAGAUGACAAGAAUUGA